ensembl:lncRNA
GUAUAUUUUCCUGUUGGUUUAAAUUGUUAAGUCACAAUCAAUAUUAAUUUCGCCAUGACUGUUAAUGUAUUGGUCAAUAGUAAGCAGUUUUUAACCCUAACAAGACAUUAAGUUAUAUUUCUUGAAUUUUUGGCUGGUUAUUUGUUAUGCUCUUAGGGAAGACUGGGCAAAAGCAAUGUGCAGCCUCUAUCCUACUGUUCAGUGGAGAAAGAGGGACAGCCAAAGGGUAAUACUUUACAAAUAUCCAAGAGCCAAAAGGGCUACUGUAGAAAGCAAGUAUAAUGUACUUACUGUAUAUACUAAUAAUAAAUACAGAUUUGUAUAAUGCUCCAUAUGUGGCAGGCCAAAAAAAUGAAUCCAUAAUCCAUUCUAUUUUAUAUAUAUCUAUAUCUAUCUAUCUAGCUAUCAUGCAUACAUUUUUUUUUUUUUUUUUACAUUUUUUUCUUAAUUGUUUGCUAUGCAGUAUUGAAAAUGAUGUCAAAUUGUACUUCUGUUUUGUAAAUAGGAUUAAAAAGAGACCACAACAAUAUAUCUGGUAAUGUUUACAUCAAAAUUUGUAUGUAUUGUGUGUAUGUGUAUCUCUUUUGUGUUUAUUUCCUUCUCACAUUUUUUUUAGCAGGUCCACUUGUUAUGGAAGAUGACUUGAAUGGUGGCCCUGCAAAUGCCUCAGAGACAGCUGGUAUACACAGAAAAAAAUAUUGCUUUAUGAUUGAUAUUUGAAUUGACUUUUUUAUAUAAAUGUGAAUAAUUUCAUCAUUAGACUUUUGAGUGCAUGCACAGUUAUAUACUGCUCACAUGUAAAUCUUGACUUUUUUAAAAAUAUGUUUACCGUACGUUUAUGAAUUUAACUUAAUGUCCAACAGCCUCUUUAGCUCUUCAAGAAUAGUAUCUAAGGAAGAUGAUGCUAAUGUUGUGCCAAUUCAAGAUCAUCAACCUCGGUCUGUAUCUAAUGACUGGGCCAUUAGAACUGAAAUGAGGGAGGAGAGAUGGAAAGAAGCUAGAUCUUCUCUUGUGGAGAACAUUUUGAAAGGAGAAGAUGCAAGUUCCUCAUCCUGCCAACAGUGCAGAUCAAAUGCAUCUGUUGUGCGUUGUAGGGACUGCCUCCCUUACCCUUUCCUCUGUGCAGAAUGUGAUGAGAAAUGGAAUGGUAGCUUCUUUCUUCUCCUUAAUAGGGAUUCACUUGUCUCAGGUUUUGUACAACCUUUACCUCCAUCAACAGGAUUCUUCCAGGCAGCUGGUCAAAUUUCUGUUAAACAUCUUGUUCGACUGCUGCCUGUAGAAAUACCUGCCCAUAUUUGUGAUUGCAGUAAUGGGACAGUCCUUGUUUCUUCCCUCUGUAGACUAUGCUAACUUUACAUGACAAUGGUCUUUACACUAGCCUUAACUGAAAUGUUAAACAGAUUAUCCUUUAUGACUAUCCCUUUAACUCUUUGGAGAUUAAUUUAAAAGAAUAUGAGUACUUUCAAUACUACAUAUAAUCAAACAUAUACAGAAAUAUCACCCAGUAAAACACCAGUAUUACCUGUUCUUCAUUUCAGAGUGGAAAAAUAUCAGCCAUUGCCUUCAGCUGCAGUUUCAAUGAAUGGGUUGCAGCAAGAUAAGCAGUGGAAAAGAUGUUUCAGGAGGAGUUUUUACUUGUCCAGCAUGCACUCUGGACAUGCUAGCUGUAUCUGUUGAUGGCAAUCGCCAACACUAUCGCUUUAAAAACAAAGCAAGGUACUUAUUUGUUUGUAAAUGAAAGUGAUUUUCUUCAUUUUGAAUGAUGUGUUAAUAUAAAUUCUGAAUGUUUUCCUCAAUAGCACAGAGAAAAGGGAAUUACUUAACCAACCUUUUAUACAGAGCGAUGUGGAGGUGUCUGAAUUUGUGGACUAUGUCCGCAAAAACAGUGACAGUAUCACGUAAGUAUUAUGAUUGACAAAUAUUACUGGUUAACUUGAUUUCACAGCUUUUCUCAAACAAUUUUACACAUUCCUUAAAGUAAAAUGUAUUGCUUAGAAAACAAUUAAACAGAUCCAGAAGAUAUCAAUAUGAUGCCCUCUGAAAACAUAUGUUUUACAUUAUGACUACUUAAGAUGUUUGUGUUCAUUGUUUUGAAAUUAGCUUGCACUGAAGUAGUUGGAGAUUGUGUAGUUUAAGAACAUAAUAUAACAGUUAACAGUAAAAAUGUACAACACAUGGUGGGAUAGAUUUGUUUGUUUGAAGCAUUAAUACUUUUUGAGAAAUCUAUAAACUUAUCUUGCAAAAGUUCAUGUCAAUGUUCUGUACAUAUUUUAUCAUUUUUUGUUGAUCAGGUGUUUAGUUCUGUCACAAUUAGAGUGGUCUAUUUAGCGGUGUAUCUUUUGAGCUUUUUAAUAAUUUAUAUAAUUUAUAUGAUCUAGGUGUUUGGAAGAGGAUUAUAUGGUGCAUCACACUGGACAGCAGCAAAAGAAUUGGCCAAGAAAUCAAGCACCAAACUGGAUGAGGAGGGAUUAGAGAUUGCUGUCUGUCGUCAUGGCGUUCUCCUUACGGCCUUAAAUAUGUUUCGAGGGGAAAUUUUUGCUUACCCCUUUUUUCUGCAGAAAAAACUUGCAGACAUGUCACAAGGGAGCAUCAAAUUCUGCUGUUCAGAUGUAGCCUGAAAAUACUUCCCAUAUCUCCAGCGUAUUUCUAAGCACUUCCCCGAGCUGCAGUCUUUACUGGACAUGCAUCCUUUUCUGUCAGUGAUGCAUGCCAAAGCACACUCUUGGAAAUGUGAGGUAUAUUGCCAUGUGUUUUAAGUAUGUUAUUAUAAGAAAUAAUAUAAAAAAAUAAAAAAUUUGAGUGCAUUGUUUUUGUCGGAUUU